rnacentral:rRNA from 1 species
UACGGGGGGGGCAAGCGUUGUUCGGAAUUACUGGGCGUAAAGGGCUCGUAGGUGGCCAACUAAGUCAGACGUGAAAUCCCUCAGCUUAAACUGGGGAACUGCGUCCUGAUACUGGAUGGCUUGAGUUUGGGAGAGGGAUGCGGAAGUUCCAGGUGUAGCGGUGAAAUGCGUAGAUAUCUGGAGGAACACCGGUGGCGAAGGCGGCAUCCUGGACCAACACUGACACUGAGGCGCGAAAGCGUGGGGAGCAAACAGG